ACGAACGCUGGCGGCGUGCCUAAUACAUGCAAGUAGCACGCUGAAGCUUGGUGCUUGCCCCGAGCGGAUGAGUUGCGAACGGGUGAGUAACGCGUAGGUAACCUGCCUGGUAGCGGGGGAUAACUAUUGGAAACGAUAGCUAAUACCGCAUAAGAGUAGAUGUUGCAUGACAUUUGCUUAAAAGGUGCAAUUGCAUCACUACCAGAUGGACCCGCGUUGUAUUAGCUAGUUGGUGAGGUAACGGCUCACCAAGGCAACGAUACAUAGCCGACCUGAGAGGGUGAUCGGCCACACUGGGACUGAGACACGGCCCAGACUCCUACGGGAGGCAGCAGUAGGGAAUCUUCGGCAAUGGACGGAAGUCUGACCGAGCAACGCCGCGUGAGUGAAGAAGGUUUUCGGAUCGUAAAGCUCUGUUGUAAGAGAAGAACGAGUGUGAGAGUGGAAAGUUCACACUGUGACGGUAUCUUACCAGAAAGGGACGGCUAACUACGUG
rnacentral:rRNA from 1 species